CCUACGGGAGGCAGCAGUGAGGAAUAUUGGACAAUGGACGAAAGUCUGAUCCAGCUAUGCCGCGUGCAGGAUGACGGCCCUACGGGUUGUAAACUGCUUUUAUACAGGAAGAAACACCCCGACGUGUCGGGGCUUGGCGGUACUGUAAGAAUAAGGAUCGGCUAACUCCGUGCCAGCAGCCGCGGUAAUACGGAGGAUUCGAGCGUUAUCCGGAAUCAUUGGGUUUAAAGGGUCCGCAGGCGGUUUUUUAAGUCAGAGGUGAAAUCCUGCAGCUCAACUGUAGAAUUGCCUUUGAUACUGAAAGACUUGAGUUAUUGUGAAGUGGUUAGAAUGUGUGGUGUA
rnacentral:rRNA from 1 species